ACUGCAUAGUGGGACCCUGUCUCAAAAAGACAAAAAAAAAAAAAAAAAGAGAUACAAAGAGGAAAGCACCAGUCCCAAGACCCUGAAGGUUGAGGGAGUAGUAAGAUGUAGCCUGGUCUGCAGCCCAUAUUGUCGCCCGGCAUACACCAAGCACGUAGCAACCACUUGUUGAAUAAAUAAACGACUUCCUGGCUCGGAUUACGGAUGGACCCCGGAACCUCAGGGAACCUGGUGAUCUCAAAUCGCUCGCACCGCCCCAGGAUCGGGGUCUGGCUCGUGCCAAAGUCCAGGCACGUCGGGGUGGUAGUGGAAGAGAGCUGAUUCCCCCACCCAACCUGCCCGGACCCCAGAGGCGGAGAAUGGGCUGUGGCUCUCUGAUCGCAGGGGCUUCGGCGUCGCCUCCUGAUCGCCGCCCGCAUGAACCAGGCGCAGAGAUGCCCCACUUGCUCCCCACAGAGUCUGGUGUGGAAGAGUAAAAAACGCCUGUCGGGACACUGGGGACCUGAAGGGUCUAGCAGAAGGCCUGAAGCUCAGUGUGGUUUCCAAUGCCAGUCUGUACCAGGAGGCCGAAGCGUCUGUGAUGGAAGCCGGAAGAGGAUAUCUGAGAUAAACUUUUGGCACCAUUUUUGGCUUGUCUCGUCCAAUUCUUGUUCGAAGCAAGAAGUUUAACCAGCAAGUCAGUUCUAAAGGAACCACCGCUACCACAGUUGCCGUGUCACACGUGGCUGAGAGUUUGAGGACAGUGAAGAAUGGACCGUUGAUUAGGCAAGUGCUUGGUUCCUGGGGACCCUGAUAAGAGCUGUUGCAUCAGAAUGUUCUGGAGAACAACUUGUUUUUUGUUUUUUUGUUUUUGUCUUUUUGAGACAGGGUCUCGCUAUGCAGUUCAGGCUG